rfam:Neosartorya udagawae DNA, contig:Aud0027, strain: IFM 46973.
GUCUCCAUGGCCCAGCUGGUUAAGGCGUCCGACUGUUAUCGCAGUCCAUUGUUGGACUCGGCAAUCGGGAGAUCGGCAGUUCGAGCCUGCCUGGGGACG